rnacentral:rRNA from 1 species
UACGUAGGGGGCAAGCGUUGUCCGGAAUCAUUGGGCGUAAAGCGUGUGUAGGCGGCUUUGCAAGUCGGAUGUGAAAUCCCACGGCUCAACCGUGGAAGUGCAUCCGAAACGGCAUCGCUUGAGUCUCGGAGAGGAAGGUGGAAUGCUUGGUGUAGAGGUGAAAUUCGUAGAUAUCAAGCAGAACACCUGCGGCGAAGGCGGCCUUCUGGACGAUGACUGACGCUGAGACACGAAAGCGUGGGGAGCAAACAGG